rnacentral:rRNA from 1 species
AGCAAUCUGCCGGGAAGUGGGGGAUAGCUCGCCGAAAGGCGAAUUAAUACCGCAUGUGGCCAGGGAGGACAUCCUCCCGAAGCCAAAGCAGCAAUGCGCUUCCUGAUGAGCUCGCGGCCUAUCAGCUAGUUGGCGGGGUAACGGCCCACCAAGGCUCUGACGGGUAGCUGGUCUGAGAGGACGACCAGCCACACUGGAACUGAGAUACGGUCCAGACACCUACGGGUGGCAGCAGUCGAGAAUUUUUCACAAUGGGGGAAACCCUGAUGGAGCGACGCCGCGUGGAGGAUGAAGGUCUUCGGAUUGUAAACUCCUGUCAUGCGGGAACAAGAAAGUGAUAGUACCGCAAGAGGAAGAGACGGCUAACUCUGUGCCAGCAGCCGCGGUAAUACAGAGGUCUCAAGCGUUGUUCGGAUUCAUUGGGCGUAAAGGGUGCGUAGGUGGUUGCGUAAGUCUGGUGUGAAAUCUCGGGGCUCAACCCCGAAAUUGCCUUGGAUACUGCGCGACUCGAGGACUGUAGAGGAGAGAGGAGUUCACGGUGUAGCAGUGAAAUGCGUAGAGAUCGUGAGGAAGACCAGUUGCGAACGCGUCUCUCUGGGCAGUUCCUGACACUGAGGCACGAAAGGCCAGGGGAGCAAACGGGAUUAGAUACCCCGGUAGUCCUGGCAGUAAACGGUGCGCGCUUGGUUGUGGGGCGGGUUCAAACCCCGUCCGUGCCGGGAGCUAACGCGUUAAGCGCGCGCCUGGGAAAGUACGGUCGCAGAUUAAAACUCAAAGAAAUUGACGGGGGCCCGCACAAGCGG